rnacentral:rRNA from 1 species
UACAGAGGUCUCAAGCGUUGUUCGGAUUCAUUGGGCGUAAAGGGUGUGUAGGCGGUUCUUUAAGUUUGGUGUGAAAUCUCCCGGCUCAACUGGGAGUCUGCCGUGGAAACUGCCGUGCUUGAGUGUGGGAGAGGUGAGUGGAAUUCCCGGUGUAGCGGUGAAAUGCGUAGAUAUCAGGAGGAACACCGGUGGUGUAGACGGCUUUCUGGACCGUAACUGACGCUGAGACACGAAAGCGUGGGUAGCAAACAGG